rnacentral:rRNA from 1 species
AUGUUAUCACGGGAGACACACGGCGGGUGCUAACGUCCGUCGUGAAGAGGGAAACAACCCAGACCGCCAGCUAAGGUCCCAAAGUCAUGGUUAAGUGGGAAACGAUGUGGGAAGGCCCAGACAGCCAGGAUGUUGGCUUAGAAGCAGCCAUCAUUUAAAGAAAGCGUAAUAGCUCACUGGUCGAGUCGGCCUGCGCGGAAGAUGUAACGGGGCUAAACCAUGCACCGAAGCUGCGGCAGCGAACGUAUCACCCAAGACAACUUUACGGAGUUGACGAUUGACGGAGCGAAGCGACGUCAAAGCGUUCAUUAAAGUCGAGUUGGCUUAGGGAUACGUUCGUUGGGUAGGGGAGCGUUCUGUAAGCCUGUGAAGGUGUGUCGUGAGGCAUGCUGGAGGUAUCAGAAGUGCGAAUGCUGACAUAAGUAACGAUAAAGCGGGUGAAAAGCCCGCUCGCCGGAAGACCAAGGGUUCCUGUCCAACGUUAAUCGGGGCAGGGUGAGUCGACCCCUAAGGCGAGGCCGAAAGGCGUAGUCGAUGGGAAACGGGUUAAUAUUCCCGUACUUGGUGUUACUGCGAAGGGGGGACGGAGAAGGCUAUGUUGGCCGGGCGACGGUUGUCCCGGUUUAAGCGUGUAGGUGUGUGUUCCAGGUAAAUCCGGUUCACUUUAACACUGAGGCGUGACGACGAGGCACUACGGUGCUGAAGCAACAAAUGCCCUGCUUCCAGGAAAAGCCUCUAAGCAUCAGGUAACACGAAAUCGUACCCCAAACCGACACAGGUGGUCAGGUAGAGAAUACCAAGGCGCUUGAGAGAACUCGGGUGAAGGAACUAGGCAAAAUGGUGCCGUAACUUCGGGAGAAGGCACGCUGACACGUAGGUGAAGUGAUUUACUCAUGGAGCUGAAGUCAGUCGAAGAUACCAGCUGGCUGCAACUGUUUAUUAAAAACACAGCACUGUGCAAACACGAAAGUGGACGUAUACGGUGUGACGCCUGCCCGGUGCCGGAAGGUUAAUUGAUGGGGUCAGCGCAAGCGAAGCUCCUGAUCGAAGCCCCGGUAAACGGCGGCCGUAACUAUAACGGUCCUAAGGUAGCGAAAUUCCUUGUCGGGUAAGUUCCGACCUGCACGAAUGGCGUAAUGAUGGCCAGACUGGCACCACACGAGGCGCAGUUGAAUUGAACUCGCUGUGAAGAUGCAGUGUAGCCGCGGCAAGACGGAAAGACCCCGUGAACCUUUACUAUAGCUUGACGCUGAACGUUGAGCCUUGAUGUGUAGGAUAGGUGGGAGGCUUUGAAGUGUGGAC